rnacentral:rRNA from 1 species
UACGAAGGGGGCUAGCGUUGCUCGGAAUUACUGGGCGUAAAGAGGGUGUAGGCGGCCACGCAGGUCCGUUGUGAAAACUGGAGGCUCAACCUCCAGCUGUCGACGGAAACCGUGUGGCUAGAGUCCGGAAGAGGAGAGUGGAAUUCCUGGUGUAGCGGUGAAAUGCGCAGAUAUCAGGAAGAACACCAAUGGCGAAGGCAGCUCUCUGGGACGGUACUGACGCUGAGACGCGAAAGCGUGGGGAGCGAACAGG